CACGUAGGGCGCAAGCGUUGUCCGGAAUUAUUGGGCGUAAAGAGCUCGUAGGCGGUCUGUUGCGUCCGCUGUGAAAACUCGGGGCUUAACCCCGAGCCUGCAGUGGAUACGGGCAGACUAGAGGUAGGUAGGGGAGAAUGGAAUUCCCGGUGUAGCGGUGAAAUGCGCAGAUAUCGGGAAGAACACCCGGUGGCGAAGGCGGUCUCUGGCU
rnacentral:rRNA from 1 species